AGAAAACGGGUUAGGGCAUCAUAGCAUAGAAGCGACCAUUGAUGAGAAAGACUGGUACUCGAAACUAAGAACCAUUUUCUUGCAACGAAGAGACAGCAGAGGAGACGGGCAUAGAUAUCCUCCAAGUCUACUUUCACAUGAGAUUGACCACCAGGAUGCGACCCUAGCGGUGAAAUCUUCAGCAUAGAAGAAGAUUCGUUUAUAUUUGUCGUGGAAAUUGUAGUGGAGUUGCAUUCAGUUAGUCCACCAUCCAGCAACGGUUUGUCAUAAAUCCGGUGAAAGCCAAAUAUCGGAAGAUUGUGGCGGAUAGGAGGCCUGAAAUGGAUUAGAAUGGAAAGGAACCUAAAGUUUAUGUGCUUGGAGAUCUAAUUAAUGAUGAUGGACUAUCCAUGAAAAGGAGAUUUAGCUCUAAGAACAGAUUCAUAUCGAAGUAUUGCCCAGGGAUUCCUCUUGUUCUAUCGUCUCUGUAGAAGGCUGAGCAAGAUUGUGGAGAAAACCGACAUGCCAAAUGACUGUUUCUGAAGUUCAUCUAUAUAUUCUUUGUUUUCUUUCUUUUUGUCUUUAUUUCUAUAAAAAAAUGUAGGGUGAAUUUUUAUUUUUAUCUUACAUUAGUUUGGUAUCCAAGCAAGUUGAUCUUGCAGUCAUGGAGUUUUAUUUUGUUAUGUCAAGUUUAUUUUGAUGAGAUCUUGUAUCUUCGAAGAGAAUUAAAACUUUGAUCAAAUUUGAUAUAUU